GCGGAAGUAGUUCAGUGGUAGAAUACAACCUUGCCAAGGUUGGGGUCGCGGGUUCGAAUCCCGUCUUCCGCUCCAAUU
rnacentral:tRNA from 4 species